AGUGAACGCUGGCGGUAGGCCUAACACAUGCAAGUCGAACGGCAGCGCAGUAAGAGCUUGCUCUUACGGGUGGCGAGUGGCGGACGGGUGAGGAAUACAUCGGAAUCUACUUUUUCGUGGGGGAUAACGUAGGGAAACUUACGCUAAUACCGCAUACGACCUACGGGUGAAAGCAGGGGAUCUUCGGACCUUGCGCGAUUGAAUGAGCCGAUGUCGGAUUAGCUAGUUGGCGGGGUAAAGGCCCACCAAGGCGACGAUCCGUAGCUGGUCUGAGAGGAUGAUCAGCCACACUGGAACUGAGACACGGUCCAGACUCCUACGGGAGGCAGCAGUGGGGAAUAUUGGACAAUGGGCGCAAGCCUGAUCCAGCCAUACCGCGUGGGUGAAGAAGGCCUUCGGGUUGUAAAGCCCUUUUGUUGGGAAAGAAAAGCAGCAGGUUAAUACCCCGCUGUUCUGACGGUACCCAAAGAAUAGGCACCGGCUAACUUCGUG
rnacentral:rRNA from 1 species